rnacentral:rRNA from 1 species
AACGAACGCUGGCGGCAGGCCUAACACAUGCAAGUCGAGCGAAGCCUUCGGGCUUAGCGGCGGACGGGUGAGUCACGCGUGGGAACGUGCCCUUUGGUACUGAAUAGCCCCGGGAAACUGGGAGUAAUACCGUAUGUGGUCGAGAGACGAAAGAUUUAUCGCCAAAGGAUCGGCCCGCGUUGGAUUAGGUAGUUGGUGGGGGAAUGGCCUACCAAGCCGACGAUCCAUCGCGGGUUUGAGAGGAUGAUCAGCCACCGUGGGACUGAGACACGGCACGAACUCCUACGGGAGUCAGCAGUAGCAAAUCUUAGACGAUGGGGGGAGCCCUGAUCUAGCCAUGCCACUUGUUCGAUGAAGGCCUUAGGGUUGUAAAGAUCUUUCAGUGGGGAAGAUAAUGACUGUACCCACAGAAGAAGCCCCGGCUAACUCCGUGCCAGCAGCCGCCGUAAUAA